UUUGGUGGUCACAGCGCGAGCAAAACACCCGAUCCCAUCCCGAACUCGGAAGUUAAGUGCCGCAGCGCCAAUGGUACUGCGACAAUAGUCGUGGGAGAGUAGGUCGCCGCCAAAC
rnacentral:rRNA from 1 species